AUUAAAGUAGCUUAAUGUUGAAAGCUUGGCGUUGAAAAUGCCAGAUCAAAGGUUAAACUCCUUUCUUUAAUA
rnacentral:tRNA from 2 species